rnacentral:rRNA from 1 species
AUUCCAGCUCCAAUAGCGUAUAUUAAAGUUGUUGCAGUUAAAAAGCUCGUAGUUGGAUUUGUGGUUGGAGCGGUCGGUCCGACACUCUGUGUGGGUACUUGACUGUCUCCGUCCAUCCUUGGGUGGAACCUGUGUGGCAUUAGGUUGUCGUGCAGGGGAUGCCCAUCUUUUACUGUGAAUAAAUUAGAGUGUUCAAAGCAGGCUUACGCCGUUGAAUAUGCUAGCAUGGAAUAAUAAGAUAGGACUUUGGUACUAUUUUGUUGGUUUGCGCACCAAAGUAAUGAUUAAUAGGGACAGUUGGGGGUAUUCGUAUUCCGUUGUCAGAGGUGAAAUUCUUGGAUUUACGGAAGACGAACUACUGCGAAAGCAUUUACCAAGGAUGUUUUCAUCG